rnacentral:rRNA from 1 species
GACAGAGGGUGCAAACGUUGUUCGGAAUUACUGGGCGUAAAGCGCGUGUAGGCGGCCUUGCAGGUCAAAUGUGAAAUCCCUCGGCUCAACCAAGGAAGUGCAUUCGAAACCGCAAGGCUGGAGUCCCGGAGAGGAAGGUGGAAUUCUCGGUGUAGAGGUGAAAUUCGUAGAUAUCGAGAGGAACACCGGCGGCGAAAGCGGCCUUCUGGACGAGGACUGACGCUGAGACGCGAAAGCGUGGGGAGCAAACAGG